rnacentral:lncRNA from 1 species
UUUGAAUGUUGAGCAAGCACACCCCAUUAUGCCCACCCAAGCUGUGCACUCACAACAUGCAACUAAUGAUGGAAAGUUUUCGUUACUAAAAGUUUAGCAGUUGCAUUACCACUUCGCAUUAGACUUUUGCCCUGGAUAACUCAACGUGGUGCCUGCUUAAGCAGCUGCACACUCUACAGUCAGACUGAGUAGAUGAGCAGAGUAGAUUAACAGAUUAUCAAGGAAUUUUCUGCCUUUUUUCUGCCUCUUUUCUGCUAAACAGAGUCCUCUUAUUACAUUGCCAGGAGCCUGACACUGAAAUAUUUUGCUGUGAUUGAUAUAACACUAACAUACCGACACCAAAUAAAGAUGAGUUCACCUGCUUGAACCACUGUAUUUAUAAACGUAGCAAGAAUACCUAGAUAGGGCAAUGGCCACCAAGAGACUAACAGCUAUUGAUUUUAAGUCACAGCUACUAAAAUAGCAGCUUCAUCAAAAUGAACAAUUAUUAAUUUCAGUUAAGGAAUUUGAGAAAUCACAUCACAUUUGGUAAAAACUAGAAAAUAACAAUGUUAGAACACCAACUCGCAUGUGUCAGGAAACAAAAGUGAAAAAAGUUACCCAGUAUUUUUUGGUGUAUAUAUAUAAAUAGUGGCCAGAUCAAUUAACGGCUACUCUUUAAGAAAAGGAUUAUGUUGACUUCCCUGGACAAAUAAAGGCCACUAUACAGAGAUAUGCAGGCUAACAGGGAGAAAAAUUUACAACUCCACGUUGGAAAUGUUCUUCAAUGUUUUAAAGCUAGCUGAAGUAGAAAAAAAAUCUUUGUUUUAGAACAGGGACGAUUAAAACACAGCUCUUCAGUGGCAUCCUGGGUGGGGCCCAAUCCAGUGCCAUUCCCUGGAUGCAGUGCAAGUAUGCUGCUGAGCACCAGCUGCCACAAGCACCCCAACCACAGCACAGUUCUCCUCAAGCUGCUGCUGCUGCACUGUCCUGUGAUGCUAUAAGAGCCCAGAAACAGGGCUCUCGGAGGAGGAUGUUGUCUCCUGCUCAGGGACCAUUUCCAGAUUUCGUCCUUCCUCAGAUUCCAAAGGAAACUGUAAUUCAUUCCUGAAUAUACAUUGAUGAACCAGUCAAAACAUACAUCUGAAAGUGAAACUCGGUCUGACAAGAAAGGUUAAGAUGGAAAAAAAAAUCAAUUAUUUUACCCCGAGGCUUUUUUUUUUUUGGACAGGGGAACACCUCAGAUCAUGUAAGUACUCCAUUUGGUAGGGUCUAUUUUAUAAAUUACCAUCAGACUUUCAAACAAAGGUCACAGAACUCUCUCAAUAAUGCUAAAUGUUAAACCUCCCAGUGAAGGUGGAAACCACAACACAAGCUAUAAAUUUAAAAGUAAAAUUAUCUUACACAAAAGUAGACUAAUAAAUAACUUCAGGGGCAUGUAAAGUAAAAACUG